rnacentral:lncRNA from 1 species
CUGAUCUUUCGUGUGUUCUCUGUCUAAUUAUUUGCUCGAUCUCAGGGUCUACAGGUAAUAAAUCGAUAAUUUGAUCUAUGCUCAUAAACACCUAAAAAAUGAAUCCAAAAAAUAAAGAAUAAAUUAGUAAGGUUCGAAGUUAAAAUAAAAAUAAAAUAAAAACCAAAUUGAAAAUAAUAAUUUCAAAAAAAUAAUUAAGGCAACAGUCCCCGG